rnacentral:rRNA from 1 species
CACGCAGGCGGUCUGUUAAGUCAGAUGUGAAAUCCCCGGGCUUAACCUGGGAACUGCAUUUGAAACUGGCAGGCUUGAGUCUCGUAGAGGGGGGUAGAAUUCCAGGUGUAGCGGUGAAAUGCGUAGAGAUCUGGAGGAAUACCGGUGGCGAAGGCAAGUUUCUGGGGGAUAAUUGACGCUGAGGCGCGAAAGUGUGGGGAGCAAACAGGAUUAGAUACCCUAGUA